CCCUUAGAUGUCCUGGGCCGCACGCGCGCUACACUGACAUGUUCAACAAGUUUCUCCUAGUUCGACAGGACUGGGAAAUCUUUGAACGCAUGUCGUGAUAGGGAUAGAUCAUUGCAAUUAUUGAUCUUGAACGAGGAAUUCCUAGUAAACGCGAGUCAUCAGCUCGCAUUGAUUACGUCCCUGCCCUUUGUACACACCGCCCGUCGCACCUACCGAUUGAAUGUUUCGGUGAAGAUUCCGGAUAGGACUGAUUUGAUUUAUUUCAUUUCUGGCCUAAAAGCUAUCUAAACCUCAACAUUUAGAGGAAGGUGAAGUCGUAACA
rnacentral:rRNA from 1 species